CAGUAAGGGAUAACUUCCUUCAGCAAAGAUCACUUCUGUGGUCCUCCAGCCUCCAAACCCUCCCACUUGGGUCUGCCCCAGAUGGGCUGCUCCAGAACCUGGCCUUGGCGCUGGGGUGGGCCUAUCCCCCAUCUUCCACCCACCCCCCUGCCUGGCACAGCAUGGGCACACAGCCAGUGCCUAGAAGCCCCUUGCCGACUGGAAUUUAGAGUCUGCCCCUUCUCCUUGGAGGAGGAAGUGGUUACCCACUCCAGAAUUCCUGCCUGGAGAAUCCCAUGGAUGGAGGAGCCUGGUGAGCUACAGUCCAUGGGGUCACAGAGUCGGAAGGAUCCCCUCUUCCCUCAGCCUCCACGUGGAAGCUUCAGCUUAGAGGAAGCAGAAAGCGCUGUCUGGGGAGGAGGCACCUGGCUCCGCAGGUGGGAGGGCCCUGGACACACCCACCUGGCGGUGGGGUGGGGGGGGCCUCAUGCCUGCCUCAGCUCUAGCCACGCCCUGGGGGAAGCCCCAGAGUGGGUGGUUUCCUUAGAGGAGAGAGGAGGCCGCUGAGGUGAUCAUUCAGGCCGCCACCCACUGGCCCCUGUCCCUGGGGAACAUGGCAGCUCUGGGGCAGGCUUCUCCCAGGACGCGGGAGCCCUGAUGGCCAGAAGAUGGACAUAGCCUGGUGCUUCCGUCCUUCACUGCUGUGCGGGCGGAGAGCAGCUGGUAGUCUUGUUGCGAAUGCUUCUGCAGUGUGAGGAGGGCCUUCCAGACGAGUCCGCUGGCUUCCAGUUGCCCAGGAAACUAACCCAGCUGCAUUCCAGACUCCCUGGCACAGGGGGAAAGGUCUCCGAGGAAGGGAGCUGUGGGGCUGAACCUGGCCUCUGGCCCCGUCAUCGCGAGGGGGAAGAUGGGCCAGCCUGGGCCCCCCGGGGAGAAGGUCUCUGACACCCAGCUGUCUGGUGCCCCGGCCGCCCCUCACCAUGCCCUGGCUGACGUCAUUCCCGG